rnacentral:lncRNA from 1 species
UCUCGCGGCAGCAGCUGAUCGUUUUCGGAUGUUAUUGUACUCAGCGCUGCUCAUUUUACCAACACCCUGGAGCCUUUUUGAUACUCAAGAUAGGGGUCGGGGGGACUCGGAUAAGAAGCGAUUUUGCCGUGGACCCAUGGGUUGACCCAAGACCCUGGCCCAAUCCUGCUCCUGAUAAGACUAUGGCGGAUUGGGACCUCCAGUUACAUAUGUAGGUACAUAUCUACUUGGGCCAAGCACCGGAUUCAAUUGUCUUCAGUGCGACCCGUAUUCAUGUGGCUGUCCAUGUAUGUAGCGUUUGAGUUAGAUGUGGUUACUGGUGGAAAACAUGGACAGCACAAUUCAGCAGGGCAACAUUGCUGAAAGUGGGCACAGUUCAUCUCUAGAUGCCAGUCCUAGUAUAACAGAUGGAAAAUUUGUGGUGAACAUAUGUGAAGAAAGUGCCAAAGCUUGCAGACAUCAAGUGUCUGCAAGCCAGCUUAAUCAGGUGUCCAUUCCUGAGAUUCUUACCCUGAAGAACCAGCUGAUAUGCAGCAUUCAAGAGGUGUCACAGAGCCUGGGCCAGCUGCUUCAGGAGCGGCACUACCUCCAAGAAGAGGUGUCAGGCCGGCACGUCACCAUCGCCCAGCUGCUGCGCGUGCAGGAGGCACGCGCCUCCGAGCUGGGCCUGCAGCCAGCUGUCCAGAUGUCAGCUGUGAUGCGUCGGUAACAGCCUGAAGGCUCCACCCUGGCCAGUACCUAGUCAACAGUGACGUCCUGCGCGACGCCAUGGGAUUAUGCAAAAUACUGUGCUGGUGCUGAUCGCACUGCCCUCCGUCAAAUCAGCGCAUCAGGAUUGCCCACUUGCUGUGUGUGUGCUGAAGUCAGAAAGUGGUCUCAGACUUCCAUUUGCUGUCAGUAUUUGGAACAUGCGAAUGGCGGGCGUUUGCCGCGGAUGUGAAAUCGCAUGGUUGUUGCACGGUUGCUGUGAAUUGGUUGUCACAGUUUGUUUUCUGUAUGGCAGCAUAGUUCAUUCUCGAGGUAGAUUGCAGAAGGGUGGGGUGUAUUUUGAACCAAAAGGGAAAUCAACGAAGCCAUAUCGCUGCUCAGUAAUCAACUGAUCCUCACUGUCUUGCCAGUUGUCAUGCAUGGUUUUUGCCAGGCAUAUCUAAUCCCCUGGAGUAUCCGCGGCUUGUAGUCGAGCAUCGCCAGCAAAAUGGAAAUUCCCUGCGCGGUUAUCUGCGGACGGCGGUCAUCACUGGUCGAAUCACGAGAACGGCUUCUGCGCAGAUGCUGCGCGUGAUAGGCUCAGUGCGUUGAUCUUCAUGUGGAUGGCUGGCGCCGCACCAGGCUUUGGGUGUGGGGUGAUGCCCGGCAGACCACGCUCUGCGUCGAUUCCCUCUUGUGCUUACACCACAAGCGAGCUAGCGUUGCGGCCGUGGAGGGGUUUCCGACGCCGUGCGACCGCAAUCCGGCGGGUGGGCCAGUUCCCACACCAUGACCAAGCAUGGCAUACUUGUGUUACGCGUAGAGUUAUCUGGUUGCCAUUUACGGCGGGGUGCCACGUUUUCAUGGUGUCGGGUGGCGGUUUCCGCGAGAAUGGCACCCACUGCCUUCUUGGGGCCUAUGAUUCCGAUGCUGCGGGUGGGAGUCCAGCGGCUUCCGCAGCUGCUGUAGCAUCAGUGGCGGUUGCCUCUUGCGGUGUUUGCUUGCUCUGUGUUUAACCCGAUUACCGCCGGGAGAUUCAAAUGCGAUGCGCGGUUGUACAGGUCGAGAGCACGGCUGGUGCGCUGGGCACAUGUACAAUCUUUACAAAUUUAGUGUGCUGUGACGGUUUUAUUCAUUUACAUUUUGUUAUGCUAAAGGAAAAUUACGUGAAUCAACGUCGAUCAUGCGUGUAAUACAUUUCAGGAAUAUAAAAACGCCUUAGCUGUAACUUGGACACAUGGGCAGCACAAACGCACCGAACGUCCAUUCACGCCACAGGCAUUCGCCGAAUGGACGCGACUCCACACGUCAAUCCACCCUAAAAAAUCAACAAAACACGAGCGGUGCACCAGCCCGUCCAUGAUAUGUACAGUGUGCGAUGAUGAAGUCAAUCACAGUCAGUUGGUCGGUCGGCACUCGCGGCCGGCGUUAUCCGAUAAACACCUGUGCCACGAGCGGGUCAUCGCUGGGCGGCGCGGGCACGGGCGGCGGCGCGCGGCUGACCGGCACGCGGCCGCCGCCGGCGCGCAGCUCCUCGCGGAUCUCGCUCAUC